GGGGGUAUAGCUCAAGUGGUAGAGUGCAUGCUUAGCAUGGACGAGGUCCUGGUUUCAAUCUCCAAUACCUCCA
rfam:Camelus ferus unplaced genomic scaffold scaffold950, whole genome shotgun sequence.